rnacentral:rRNA from 1 species
CGAGUGCCCCAAGCGUUAUCCGGAAUUACUGGGCGUAAAGGGUGUGUAGGUGGUUUGGUUAGUCUGUCGUUAAAACUCCCGGCUUAACCGGGAAAGUGCGAGGGAAACGGCCAAACUAGAGAGGUUGAGAGGCAUGCGGAACUCAUGGUGUAGGGGUGAAAUCCGUUGAUAUCAUGGGGAACGCCAAAGGUGAAGACAGCAUGCUAGCACCUAUCUGACACUGAAACACGAAAGCGUGGGGAUCGAAAAGGAUUAGAUACCCUUGUAGUCCACGCCCUAAACGAUGAUCACUGGCUUUUCGGAGUAUCGACCCUCUGAGAGGCGAAGCUAACGCGUUAAGUGAUCCGCCUGGGAAGUACGAUCGCAAGAUUA